UUGCCAGUCGGCUCCAUUGUGAUGUCAGCGGCCUCAGGAGCAGCUUGGCUGAGGCAGAGACUGCUCACCUCUGCUUCUGGGUGCUGUGGGGGUGUUAGGUGUGUUUCGGAUGCACAUGUCCAUACUAGGCCUCUCUGAUGUUGCACUUGGGCCCAAACAGAGGGAAGACCAAGUUCAAUAUCCGGCCCAUGUCAAAUGGAGAAUUCAGAACAAUCACCUGGGCUGGGGUGAAGACUUGGACUGCUGAAUCAGCCACUCUGCUUUAAGUGUGAUGUAGAGAUGUUGCUGUGUCAGACGUCCUCAGAUCAGAAAGCCCAGGGAAUGGAGGCUGCAGUCCCUCAGGACAACAUGCUGGCUUAAGUGGAGCCAUUUCCUAUGGAAAUGAGCCUGUGCACACCUUCCCUGUGGUGAGAGAUAGCUAUCUGGGUCUUAGGUUUUCUCCCUAACUUCUUUAGCCAGGAGCACAAUUCUGAAACUGUUUGAUCUGUUUCACAGGUGGUAAAAAUACUCUGAGGUCACUAUGCUAGCCAUUCUCUCCCAGGACCAUGAAUUCUUUGUGCCACAGAAUAUAAAAUAAAAUGAAGAGUGAAAAUGU